rnacentral:rRNA from 1 species
AGCCUUAUCGGUGGAUCACUCGCUCGUGGAUCGAUGAAGAACGCAGCAAACUGCGAUAAUUUGUGCGAACUGCAGAAACCUUGAGCACAAAAGUUUUGAACGCUAUUGCCGCAUUGGGGUCAAACUCUUGCUACGUCUGGUUCAGGGUCAUUUUCUUUUAAAGCGUGAGCUUUUAUUUCUAUAUUGCUUUGAUGCUUUAUAUUUUAAGAGGAUUGUUGUUUAUCCUAAUUGUAUGAAUCUACUACAAAACUCAAACAAUUUGACCUGAACUCAGUCGAGAGCACCCGCUGAACUUAAGCAUAUCAGUAAGCGGAGGAAAAGAAACUAAACAGGAUUCCCCAGUAACGGCGAGUGAACUGGGAAAUGUCCAUCGCUAAAUCAUUUUGCCUCAGGCAUUAUGAAGUGUAGCGUAUAAGGCGUAAUCUUUUAUCUUUUAUUUCAAACAAGUUCCUUGACAGGGGUUCCACAGAAGGUGAAAGCCCUGUACAUUGAGAUAAUUGAUCGAUAUUUGCGUGCUUUAGAGUCGGGUUGUUUGGGAUCGCAGCCCAAAGUCUGUGGUAAACUUCAUCUAAGACUCAAUAUUGCCACGAGACCGAUAGCAAACAAGUACUGUGAAGGAAAGUUGCAAAGCACUUUGAAGAGAGAGUUAAAGAGGACGUGAAACCGGUGAGGUGGAAACGGAUAGAGUCGGCGUAUCUUUCAAGUAUUCAUUUACUUUAUUUUUAUGUUGUGAUCUCUGAGCUCCAGAUUGGGACAGAGGAAGCAGCAUAAUUUUCUGUGAUGCAUUUACUUGUUUGGUGCUUGGGGAUGUUUGAGGCAGAUUUGUAUCCGCAGUUUUGAGGCCAGCUUGCUGGUACCCAAACGGUGUUAGCAUUUUUUGUCUUGGACAUUUGAGUAUGGCUUACGGUCAUUUAUGGUUCGAUCUGGUGUAAGUUACGGUCGCAUGCGACAGUGCUUUUCAAUUAGUUCGGUCCAGUUAAUGCUCUCGUACUCCUUCCCAUGUAAAAGCCGGUCAUCUAUCCGACCCGUCUUGAAACACGGACCAAGGAGUUUAUCGUGUGCGCAAGUUUUUGGGUGUUAAAAACCUAAAAGCGAAAUGAAAGUAAAUGGCUCUUUAGAGUCUGAUGUGCGAUCUUGUUAAAAAGUGCAGCAUGGCCCCAUUCUAACUGUUUACAGUAGGGUGGCGGAAGAGCGUACGCGGUGAGACCCGAAAGAUGGUGAACUAUUCCUGAGCAGGACGAAGCCAGAGGAAACUCUGGUGGAAGUCCGAAGCGGUUCUGACGUGCAAAUCGAUCGUCUGACUUGGGUAUAGGGGCGAAAGACUAAUCGAACCAUCUAGUAGCUGGUUCCCUCUGAAGUUUCCCCAGGAUAGCUGGAGCUCACGAGUAGUUAUACUCGUAAGCGAAUGAUUAGAGGACUUGGAACGAAAUGUUCUUAACCUAUUCUCAAACUCUAAUGGGUAUGAUAUCAAAGUUGCUUGAUUUUGAACUUUGGCGUUGAAUACGAGCUCCAAGUGGGCCAUUUUUGGUAAGCAGAACUGGCGAUGUGGGAUGACCAAACGCGGAGUUGCGGUGCCAAAGUGCCCGCUCAUUAGACCCAUAAAAGGUGUUGGUUGAUACAGACAGCAGGACGUGGCCAUGGAAGUCGGAAUCCGCUAAGGAGUGUGUAACAACUCACCUGCCGAAUCAACUAGCCCUGAAAUGGAUGGCGCUGGAGCGGGCCACCUAUACUCUGCCGUCAUAUGCUUGUAUUUUUAAGUCUUGCAAUGACGUGUAAGAGGGUCGUAGUGAUUGCGUUGAAGGCUUUGGGUGUGCACCCAGCUGGAGCUUCCACUAGUGCAGAUCUUGGUGGUAGUAGCAAAUAUUCAAGUGAGAUCCUUGAAGACUGAAGUGGAGAAGGGUUCCACGUGAACAGCAGUUGAAUGUGGGUCAGUCGAUCCUAAGGCACCGGCUAAGGCCGUCUAGACACUGCGGGGAAAUGAGAUACUUAACGGUAUUUUGUCCACCCGGUUGCCGAAAGGGAAGUGGGUUAAUAUUCCCACACCAGGCAUGGGAGAUGGUGAUCCGCAAGGAUUACUUUGCGCGGUGACGCAAACGAACUCGUAACCUCGUGUGGAGUCCGGCCAAGUUCUCUUUCUGGUUUAGAGAUCAUGUCCCUGGAAGUGGCUCAGCUGAGAUAGGGAUGCUGGUCUCGUAAAGCGCAGCGGUUCUGUUGUGUCUCGUGUGCUCCACAUGAGCCGUGAAAAUGCGAGGGAGGCAAUUUAAAAUCUCCUGCCUGAUCGUACCAUAUCCGCAGCAGGUCUCCAAGGUGAACAGCCUCUAGUCGAUAGAAUAAUGUAGGUAAGGGAAGUCGGCAAAUUAGAUUCGUAACUUCGGGAAAAGAAUUGGCUCUAAAGGUUGGGUCAGUCGGGCUGUUGUGUGAAACAGGUGGACUUUGCUCGUGGCUGCUUGCGCUUCCUUUAGGGGCGGCGCUUGUGGACUAGUAGUGAGGACUGCUUUUGGAGCGCUUCAGCUGCGUGCUAUUUCGCAAGAUAUAGUACUUCGAUUGGCGCUGAAACAACCAGUUUAGAACUGGCACGAACUCCGGGAAUCGACUGUCUAAUUAAAACAGAGGAGACGGAUGGUCCUUGCAGGCGUUGACCGUGUCUGAUUUUCUGCCCAGUGCUCUGAAUGUUAAGCCAAGGAAACUUUGAUUAAGCGCGGGUAAACGGCGGGAGUAACUAUGACUCUCUUAAGGUAGCCAAAUGCCUCGUCGGCUAACUUACCGACGCGCACGAAUGGAUCAACGAGAUUCCCACUGUCCCUAUCUACUAUCUAGCGAAACCACAGCCAAGGGAACGGGCUUGGCAAAUUUAGCGGGGAAAGAAGACCUGUUGAGCUUUGACUCUAGUCUGACUUUGUGAAGAAUCAUGAGAGUGUAGCAUAA